UACGUAGGGGGCAAGCGUUGUCCGGAUUUAUUGGGCGUAAAGAGCGUGUAGGCGGUCAGGUAGGUCCGUUGUGAAAACUCGAGGCUCAACCUCGAGACGCCGAUGGAAACCAUCUGACUAGAGUCCGGAAGAGGAGAGUGGAAUUCCUGGUGUAGCGGUGAAAUGCGCAGAUAUCAGGAAGAACACCCGUGGCUGAGGCGGCUCUGUAGUACGGUACUGACGCUGAGACGCGAAAGCGUGGGGAGCGAACAGG
rnacentral:rRNA from 1 species